UAGUCAUAUGCUUGUCUCAAAGACUAAGCCAUGCAUGUCUGAGUUUAAAUGCUAAACAAUGAAACUGCGAAUGGCUCAUUAAAACAGUUAUAGUUUAUUUGGUAAUCGAAUUUACAUGGAUAACCGCGGUAAUUCUAGAGCUAAUACAUGCAGGUGAGCCCUACUUUGCGGACGGGCUGUAUUUAUUAGAUAACAGACCAAUAUUCUUCGUGUCUAUUGUGGUGAAUCAUAGUAACUGAUCGGAUCGCAUGGGCCUGUCCCGCGACAAACCAUUCAAGUUUCUGCCCCAUCAGCUCGCUGGUAGUGUAUUGGACUACCAUGGCUUUUACGGGUAACGGAGGAUUAGGGUUCGAUUCCGGAGAGGGAGCCUGAGAAACGGCUACCACAUCUAAGGAAGGCAGCAGGCGCGUAAAUUACCCAAUACUAAUUCAGUGAGGUAGUGACAAGAAAUAACAGACCAUGGGUUCUACCCUGGGACUGCAAUGAGCCUAAUUUACACCCCUUAGCGAGGAUCAAUU
rnacentral:rRNA from 1 species